rnacentral:sRNA from 1 species
AUGCUCUUGAGUGUACUCAGGACAUCUGACUUUGUUAAGAUGUAAUAUCGUUAACAAAAGGGUAAACUGAUAUUUUUACAUCUUGAUUAAUCUAUGUCGACUGCAGCAACAUGUGCAAACUAUUGCAAAAUCAGCUUUAUUUUCAUAAAGACGGUUUACUCUAAUUUAGAUAAUUUUUGGUACACUUUGGCCUGACUACAGUAUCUGCAACUAGAAAAACAAACAUCAAAAUUCAACAUACAUGUUGAUGCCUUUAUGAGUACUCGUGGAUAUUUUACAUUUUUGUAUAUUAAUUUUCAGUUUGAAAUAAUAUAAUUACCCGGUGGAUAUUUUUUGUCUUUUUGAAUUAUUAUGAUUUUUAAUAUUUGUUUGAUUUUAUUUUGAUAAGCAUUCACAGAAACAGGCAAGUUGUCUUCAACUUUACUGCUCGCACCAAUUGGACCCAAUUUGAUCCAAACACUUAGAUCUAUAAAAACUUCAAUCAUAAUUUGCGUUACAUUUAUGAAACAUUAGCUGAGAAUUUUUCAUUUUUUUUUAAUCUGUUAUAAAAUAUUGUUAUUUAUUAAAUCAACAAUAUA